CCAUUUCAGAGUCCCCGCCUUGACGUAGCUUCCCGCUACCUAUAUCGCCACCAAACUCGGGCCCCAUGUUGUAGAAGUCGGCUUGUGUGUGUGCU